CUGGAGUAGCCUGUGGUUUUUAAGGCUUUCGUGUCUCGUUGCGUUAAACGAUCGCAGAACGAUUUAUUACUCUUUUUCACCUCGAUCUUUGGCCUCUUGUGAUUUAACAAAACCAACAUGUGAAGUUACAACGCUGACGAAGGAGUUUCAUCAGUAGAGUGUGUCCUGGUAAACGUGUGCUCGGAAACAUGCAGAUUACAGUAUUUACAGAGCCGACCUUGAGGCUAUUUUUUUGCAUGACAUCCACUGAUGGAUAAUCUGUUUACCUAAAAACAGCACUUCAGGAGAAACCUGCCUGUGAUCUGCUAAGAUGCACAGAUUCAACUCUGGCCCAUUGUCAUCCCAACCCCUUAUCUGCCAUCAGUUUCGUUUAGUGUCGGUCUAUUUCAAAAGUUCUUAUAAACUUUAAAUGAGACUUUGUGUUAAGCAGGGGUUUCCAAACUUUUCAUUUCACAACAUAUUAAGCCCAGGAUACACAGCAGGAUUUUUGCAAUCCAAUAAGACCUUAUCACACUGUGUGACAAAAAUUGUUUAAACUUCAGCAGUAGACUGUCGAUGAAGACACCUAUUGCAUCUGAGGCUGCGACAUCCGUCAUCAGCAUGCGCUAGUGGUAAACAAAUACAGGUAUGCAGGUCGUAGAAGCAAACACGUUGUUGAUGUGCGUUGAUCAUGCUGAACUUCUUACACUGUCAUAAAACUAUCGUAGGUGUCUUUGGUCCCAGGACUGGUAAAGCAGACGUCUUUAAACCUCUCACACUGUAUGAGAUAGGACCACCAAUUAAGA